UAAACAUGAAAUGGAGAUAAUGUUUUUGAUAAUAGAAGGAACAAAAUAACAUGCAUCUAAUGCAAUAAAAGCUCCACUAGGCAGAUGUAGGGAGACCUCGCCAACAACUAAUACAACAACUUUUGCUCCAUUACCCAUCUUGAGGUCCAUCUCGCCUCUCUCUAGUCUCCUAGGCCUUGCCAGAACCUGCAACGAAUUGCAUAUAUGAUAAGCACUACCGGUAUCCAAUACCCAUGUGUUAUC
rnacentral:lncRNA from 1 species